AACGUGCGCGAUAUUCGUGCGAGCGCAGUUUGACUUGAGCAAUCGUGGGUUUGGACUCCGUGACAUUUGCUUUCGUCAUAUGCGAGUUAGGGGCUUGCCGACAGGUAAACCGCCGCUGUACUUAGAUGAGUUGAGAUUUACACAUCAAUGCCAGCUCACAAAGCAUCUAAUACGGCAAUCAGCCAGCCACCUCCGCAGAU
rnacentral:lncRNA from 1 species